UACGGGGGGGGCAAGCGUUGUUCGGAAUUACUGGGCGUAAAGGGUUCGUAGGUGGCUGGCUAAGUCAGACGUGAAAUCCCUCAGCUCAACUGGGGAACUGCGUCUGAGACUGGUCAGCUCGAGUGCAGGAGAGGAACGCGGAAUUCCAGGUGUAGCGGUGAAAUGCGUAGAUAUCUGGAGGAACACCGGUGGCGAAGGCGGCGUUCUGGACUGCAACUGACACUGAGGAACGAAAGCCAGGGGAGCAAACGGG
rnacentral:rRNA from 1 species